rfam:Picea glauca, whole genome shotgun sequence.
ACAUGCCUACAUCAUAGCGUUAAUGCAUUGGAUCCCAUUAGAACUCCGUAGUUAAGCACGCUUAGGCUAGAGUAGUACUAGAAUGGGUGACCACCCGAGAAGUCCUACUAUUUUACAUGCC